GAAGUAGCAGGAAACAGAUGGCCAAGGAGGACUCAAGGUAAUGUUUCUGUCACAUACCCACACCAGAGCAUGUCAGUCUUUUUGAGGAUUGAACAGAGUCUCCAUAGCAGACAGGACAUUAAAUUCGGUGACCGUGCUAUGAAAAUAUGCAAAGAUAAUGAAAGUUGAGCUAAGACCAGUCUGAAAGCUACAGUUACAGAGAGAGAGAGAAGAAGUAGAAGAAGAAAAGAAGAAGAAGAAGAAGAAGAAGAAGAAGAAGAAGAAGAAGAAGAAGAAGAAGAAGAAGAAGAAGAAGAAGAAGAAGAAAAGUUGGAUGGGUGGAGAGGAUCUAGGAAAUGGAGAAAGUGAAACCACAAUCAGAGUACAUUAUAUGAAUUUUCAGUAAGAAAUUAAGUGCUUUGACUUUAAAUAUAAAAUAACUACAAACAAAACAAACUAUGCUUCCCAGUUCUGCCCCCACCUCCCAGACUGUGCACCAUUUUGCAUCCUUGACUUGUUCUUCGGAAGAAGAAAGUGGUGGUAUAGGGAAAUGUAAAACCACCACAUCUCAAAUUUAGGAGUUAUUUCCCCAUAAUAUUAAACAGAACCCAGUGAGUUUAUAAUAAACACAUCAUAGGCAGGGAAAGCCUGAAUCCUUACAAGUUCCUGUGUCUAUGCACACAUUUUCACAUGAAAUUUGUCAAAUGUAGCUCCAACUUCACCUAGAACAAUUGCAUUGUCUUUAUUCAAUGGCAUUCACUGUCCAGUUACUUUGCUAGCCUUGAGUUAUUAAAGUCAACUUUUAUGCUUUCCAAUCCAUGCUAGGUACCACUCAAAUAUGUAACCCCAUUUGCCUGUUUUGAGUGUCUAAUGGUGCCAGUUUAAGAAUUAGCACUUCCCAUUUUAUCAUAUUUUAGUUCACAUGAUCUUGUAGGGUUUUUCUUCACCAAGCCAAUCCUUUAUGUUAAUAAAAUCACAAUUAGAAGAAAUUCAGAAUU
rnacentral:lncRNA from 1 species